rnacentral:rRNA from 1 species
UACAGAGGGUGCAAGCGUUAAUCGGAAUUACUGGGCGUAAAGCGCGCGUAGGCGGCUGAUUAAGUCGGAUGUGAAAGCCCCGGGCUCAACCUGGGAACUGCAUUCGAUACUGAUCGGCUAGAGUAUGAGAGAGGGAGGUAGAAUUCCACGUGUAGCGGUGAAAUGCGUAGAGAUGUGGAGGAACACCGAUGGCGAAGGCAGCCUCCUGGGCCAACACUGACGCUCAUGCACGAAAGCGUGGGGAGCAAACAGG